rnacentral:rRNA from 1 species
UACGGAGGGUGCGAGCGUUAAUCGGAUUUAUUGGGCGUAAAGCGAGCGCAGGUGGUUUAAUAAGUCUGAUGUAAAAGGCAGUGGCUCAACCAUUGUGUGCAUUGGAAACUGUUAGACUUGAGUGCAGUAGAGGAGAGUGGAAUUCCAUGUGUAGCGGUGAAAUGCGUAGAUAUAUGGAGGAACACCGGUGGCGAAAGCGGCUCUCUGGACUGUAACUGACACUGAGGCUCGAAAGCGUGGGUAGCAAACAGG